rnacentral:misc_RNA from 1 species
UUCUACCAAAAACUCACUGAAAAGAAGCAAUAUGAUGAAUAUUGGCUGGAGAAAGCUAUUAUCAACACUCCAACUUGGUGGGAUCAUCCUGAUAACUACAGGCGUACUGUAAUGGCUUAUAUAGAGUCACAGCAUCAGAAAGAUAAUUUUGCAUCAGAUGAUUAUGGGGAAAUUGAUGAGUCAAAUUCUGAUGAUGAGGAAAUCUGAG